rnacentral:misc_RNA from 1 species
CUGAGUUAGGGUCCUCUGGGCCCGAACCUCCAACCCUUUGUUUAAACCACUUUGUUGCUUUGGCAGGCCCGACCUCCGGGUCCGCUGGGGGCGUUCAAUCGCCUCUGGUCAGCGCUUGCCAAUAGCCUAUUCAAAUUCUUCUUUAACCAUGAAGUCUGAAUCAUAAUUAUAAAUAUAAUUA